rnacentral:lncRNA from 1 species
GAGCAGCUUUCACUCCUGUGCUGUCUCCACUGUCUGCUGUGAAGGGAGCACUCACCAGUGCCUUUUCCUCAGGGAAUACUAAUGGUGUCUGUAUCCUCCAGCUGUCCUCUCCAAUCACCUCUGGGAGCUUCAGAGCUUUGAGAGAUACUCUCUUCUGUUGUGUUGAAAUUGUCUGAUGCUGUUCUAGAACUACUCAGACACACAGACACAGAGAGAGAGGGAGAGAGGGAGACAGUCAAUACCUGUAAUGCUUUGUUUCCUUAGGAAUCCCAGGCUUAACAACAAUCACCUCACCAUUGUCCCAGAUGUAACAUGCAGUUGUGGUUUUCAUGGUGCAGCAGAAAUGUGGGGACACAGCUGUGGCCCAGAUCAGUUAAUGCAAUUAAAAAUCUCAAGGCUGGAGCAGAACCCAAGAAAUCUGAUGGAGCUGCAAAAGCUGGGCCCAAGCAGUGAGCACCAGCCAGGGUGGUACAGAGUGCUCUCAUUGGCUUAGAAGCAACACAGCAUCUGAAAUCAGAACAUCUCUCUCUCUCUCCCUCCGUCAGAAAACAUCUGGAAGAGUGGAAAAUUCUCCAGCAGAAUUUGGGGGCUGUGAAACAAAUACAGAAAUAUUUCUCUCUGUUGGUUUUCUGGCUUGCCUUUUGUAUCUUAGAACUGGUUGGGACAUUUCACUCAUUAUUACCAGACUUGGUUUCAGUCAGUGAGAAAUGCUAACAUUUGCUGAUUUGCUGCUGUGGUUUGGUAUUCUUAGACCUAAACCCUGGUUUGUUCUUUUGAUAACCCUAGGAAAUCCGUGUCACAUUUAAAUAACAUUUUUCUAGUACCUUUUCAUCAGGCAGUCCUCUGCCUGUGCAUAGAUUGUUAGCAAGCUUUUACUCCACACAUUCCAGCCAGAGCUGCAGUUGCUCCAUGAGACACUUCUGUUGUGAGGCUGGUUGGGUUAUUUAUCAGCCCAGCACAGCCCUCACUGCCAGUUUGCUGCCAGCUGUUAACUAUACAAUAGCACUGGGAACAAAAUCAGUUCUUCCUUUGCCAGUGGACUUGGACAUAAUUCAGCUACCUGUUGACAAAUGAUGAUUUGUUUAACAGCAUAAACAAUAAUAUUUUUGUAGCCAAAAGUUUUC